rnacentral:lncRNA from 1 species
GAUGACGUAUAAGUAUGUGGAUGUUAUCAAUUGGCUCCGCAGAGCGAAAAUAGACAGAUGGGCGGAGAAAGAGGCGUGAAUCAGCAGACACUUCCAGGGAACCAAACAGUAACUGGGUGAGUUUGGAUUCCACUUCUGCCUUUUAUUUUCCAACUGGGACCUCAAACAAGUCACUUGACCUGGGUUGAGUUUCCCCAUGUGUUUUUUAAUUUUUUUCCAAGACAGGAUUUCACUGGCUGUCCUGGAACUCUCUGUAGAUAGGCUGGCCUUGAACUCAAGAGCUCCACCUGCCUCUGCCUCCUAAGUGCUGGAAUUAAAGAUGUGUGCGGUUGCUGCCGCCACCACCUGGCUGAGUCUCCUCAGAGUGGAGCUGUCAGGAAGCCUGUGGCACCUCCCCUCUCUUAGCCACAGCCAACUGUUCCGUGACAAGAGCCUCUUAUAAGUCAUCUGGACUCACACCCUGGGCUAGAAGAUUCAAGACCUUCUGGCAGGUGAGGGAAACCGCAGGUACACAAGUGUAAGUUGUGAGCUGCCUGCUGCUGGUGGAGGAGGUAAGUCUCCUCCCUGUGGAGGGCUGAUGUCCACUAAAGGACCUAGGGCUUUGACACAAUAAAGGAAAGUGCUCAAAGGCCA